rnacentral:rRNA from 1 species
ACGCACGCUGGCGGCGUGCUUAACACAUGCAAGUCGCACGGAAAGACCCUGCUUUUGUGGGGUGCUCGAGUGGCGAACGGGUGAGUAACACGUGAGUAACCUGCCCUUGACUUUGGGAUAACUUCAGGAAACUGGGGCUAAUACCGGAUAGGAGCUCCUGCUGCAUGGUGGGGGUUGGAAAGUUUCGGCGGUUGGGGAUGGACUCGCGGCUUAUCAGCUUGUUGGUGGGGUAGUGGCUUACCAAGGCUUUGACGGGUAGCCGGCCUGAGAGGGUGACCGGCCACAUUGGGACUGAGAUACGGCCCAGACUCCUACGGGAGGCAGCAGUGGGGAAUAUUGCACAAUGGGCGGAAGCCUGAUGCAGCAACGCCGCGUGCGGGAUGACGGCCUUCGGGUUGUAAACCGCUUUCGCCUGUGACGAAGCGUGAGUGACGGUAAUGGGUAAAGAAGCACCGGCUAACUACGUG